rnacentral:other from 1 species
AUAUUCCUGCCCGGUGCGCCACGGGCAGACCGUUAAAACCUACAAGAGAUCAAUGGAGUCCGGCCUUCGCGCUCAGGGUUUGCAGACCUCCCUCCGGCAUUUCUUUCAGUGGAAUGCCGCCGAGGACGCUGGGAGCACAAGCGACGCGAGAGGACACCAACCUGCCAUAGCCGCGGGUUUCUCAAUGGACUGCGCGAACGGCCGGGCGGGAAUAUU